GCCUUUUGUCCUUCAAGUGUGUGAUUCAUGAUUCAAAUUUCCCGUCCCAGGCAAUGCUCCCACUCUGGGGGUCUCAAUUCAGGAGAAGGCUUGUGGAGGUGACAGGCCCAGAUACUUCAGGGACCUGAGCCGCAGAGCAUGACAGGAGGUAAUGAGUAACUGCUUCCAGGCAAGCACAGCUCACUGCAGAGGUGCAAGCUCAGGAGGGUUGCUCACUCUCAAGCUGCCGUGUGUACUACCAGCUUCUGCUGCCAUUUUCAGGGCCACCAGAAUCCAUGCUGCAUCGCCGGUCACAGAGAUCCAGGAGAUAGAAGGUGAGCCUCUGGAUCCAGCAAGUCUGACCACAGAACUGUGCGGCAAAUGUUUUUCUGUCAUCUUGUAAUCCGCAACAGCACCCAGGGAAAAGCACUGGGGAGCUCCACAGAUGACUUGCAGAAGGCCGGUAGGUUGUUGAUGACUGCCUGAGAGAAUUCUGCAAGACCCGGAGCAGGAUGGGAGUGUGCGCAAUGCAGCAGCCAGCUCAGCAACCUUCAACAGGAAGGGAUUCCCACGCUCACUUUAGAAAAUAGGUCUCUACGUCUCCAACUGCAUCAGGUCUGUCAGCACGACUACAGAGGAAAUGACAAGUUUCAAGUGACCCUAUGAUACAAGGUGCCCUUCAUCAGUUUAACAGAUUGCACACCCAAGGUUCCUCGGUAGGCCCUGAUCCGACUGAGCUCUCCUUGUGACAGGACAGAGCUUUACUCUGUGAGCUUCCUCCUCAAAGUCCUUUCCUGCCCUAAGCAAAUGGCACAUGUCAGGUCUGGCACAAGAAACAUAUAAGAGGCACCUGUGUCACACCAGCCCAGCAAGCUCUGAGACUUCCAGGUGGUUCACAAGGAACCAGGAACCAGAUAAAAGUGGCCCACACUGGCCAGAGAUGAAAUAACAUCAGAAAACAAAAUGAGUACGCAGACUAAAAUAUAUCAAUUUUGUUUAAAUCUUGUCAAUGUGUCAUCAUUUUAAAAUAUUAAACAAGAUUGAGUGGGCACUUCUGGAGCUAAGUGAGCCGGAUGAUAACUCAUGGCCUAGGAGAUUUCCGUACUCAUGGCCUCUCUUGUUCAAGCUGCUUCUCAGGAUGACCACACCGAGGCAAGAAUUCUAGCCAAAAAAGUAUACAAGGAGUCACCUCUUGGCUUCGGAGGUCCUCAGUGGUUGGUAGAACCCACUAGGUGAAAGUUAGUGUGAGCUUGGAGAGUGGACAAAUCCGGCUGGUGACACCCAAAGUUGCCAAUCAGUGAGAACUGAUUGCCAAUGGAGAAGCUGGGUUGUCAAACAGAAAUAAACUCCUGGAGUGGGGACAGAGCCCACCUGCCACACAGAACAGCCCCGAAGCACCCUUGAGUCUAGUCAAACAUCUGGAUGAAACUAAUAGUUAGUGAUGAAGAAGACACUAGAACACGGCAAAUGACCCCGAAAUGUAUAUUCAUCAGCCCAGGAUCUGGGGAGUUGACGCUUUCCUUCUCGAGUAGAAACAGUGUCGAGUCUCUGGCCCUUUGAACCUGGCAAUCUCAUCAUGAGCCUGCCUCCAGCCCCCAUUCAUCUCUUUGGGUUAUUUCUUAAACUUAACUGUCUAUGAUGGCUAAUCUGGUCUGUCAGCUUGACAUACCUGGAAAGGAGUCCCAACUGAGUAAUUGCCUCCAUCAAAUUGUAGGCAUGUCUAUAAUUGCAAUGUCUUAACCAGUGGUUAAUUGAUGAAGAUGAGCCCAGCCCCCUGUGGGCAGUGCCAGCCCUACAAAAGAGGGCCUGAGCUGCAUAUGAAAGUACCUGAGUGAGAGCCUGGAAGUGAGCCAGUAGGCAGCUUCCUCCAGGACUGGCUCUGCUUCAGUUCCUGCCUGGAGGCUCCUGCCAUGCCUUCCCUUAAGGAUGUCCUGCAACCCAUAGCACAUAAACGCUUUCCUCCUGCAAGUUGUUUGGGUCGUCAGUGUUUUAUCACAGCAACAGAGAAGCAAACCAAAACAUCACUGGUUUAGCCCCAUCUUUACGAGCUAUCUUUUUGUUUUAAGUGUUCAUCCUGCAUGUUAAUUAAUGUCAAGGUGUCUCCUUUUAGCAAGUGUCUACCUCAUUCAACUCUAAAAAGCCCUGUGAAGCCAAAGACUAUGACUCUGAUAUCAUCUGUUUUCCGGGCACAUAGUAAACACUUCAGAGAGACAAGUUGGGGUCUGAAUGCUUGGUUUACUGUUUUCCUUUCAAUUAUUUCACAAAAACACUACCCCAAGAUCUUCCUGAAUAAGGCGAUGGUUCUGUCACAAGAGUGGCUCACAUACCCUGGUUGAUUCACUUCUCUGGAGAAGCCCACCUAAUACCAGGGACUGGAUUUGGAGCCUUCGGAAGAAAGCAGGGAAGUUCCGUACGGUGCUUAUAGUGAAGCCACUCUUGUGACAGAACCAUCGCCUUAUUCAGGAAGAUCUUGUACAAGUGUGUAUGUGUAUAAGUGAGAGGGUAUGUGUGUAUGUAUGUAUGCACAUGUAUGUGCAUGUGUGAGUGUGAAUGUGUGUGUGUGUGAGUGUGUGUGUGUGUGUGUGUGUGUGCGCGCGCGCGUGCGUGUGCUCACAUAUAGGGAAUAAAGAGAAAGACUUUAAGGAGUUGUCACUGUAAACUGGCUGGAAACCCAACCAGUUUGGUGUUUGAGUUUAACCUCGGGUUCAAAGCAACCUAUAGUCAGUUUCUUCUUGCCUAUGGAGUCCUGUCUGUUUAGUUAAGAUCUUCAAGAGAUUAGAUAAUGCUCACCCCCAUAUCUGCUCAACUAAAAGUCCACUGAUUAACUAUAUCUAAGAAGCAUAGUCCCAGAAAACAUCCAGAAUGUUUACCACCAGAAUCAUUUUGGCCCUAGAAUUUGGCACAUUCUUUCCAUACCUGGAAACACUUCCCACAGGCCUCCAGCUCUUCCUGGUUUCCUUCUCUGAUGCUGUAACAAGUACUUAAAGCCACUUUUGCUAAAAACCACAAGGAUGAAACUCAAACAUCUCUGCUUCAUUCUGUGUCUGCCUCCCUCCUCUACAUGGGUCAGAUCCUGCUUGACUCUGUGUACCCAUGCUAACCACUCAGUGAGCGCCUGCCCUCCUCACUGGGUGAGCAGUGAGCACCUGCCCUCCUCCUU
ensembl:lncRNA